rnacentral:rRNA from 1 species
AGAACGAACGCUGGCGGCAUGCCUAAUACAUGCAAGUCGAACGAACACUUCGGUGUUAGUGGCGCACGGGUGCGUAACGCGUGGGAAUCUGCCCUUGGGUUCGGAAUAACAGUUGGAAACGACUGCUAAUACCGGAUGAUAUCGAAAGAUCAAAGAUUUAUCGCCCAGGGAUGAGCCCGCGUAGGAUUAGCUAGUUGGUGAGGUAAAGGCUCACCAAGGCGACGAUCCUUAGCUGGUCUGAGAGGAUGAUCAGCCACACUGGGACUGAGACACGGCCCAGACUCCGUACGGGAGGCAGCAGUAGGGAAUA